UCCCUGGUGGCUUAAUGGUUAAGGAUUCGGCAUUGUCACUGCUGUGGCUUGGGUUCAAUCCCUAGCCUAGGAA
rnacentral:tRNA from 1 species